rnacentral:rRNA from 1 species
CCUACGGGAGGCAGCAGUGAGGAAUAUUGGUCAAUGGACGCGAGUCUGAACCAGCCAAGCCGCGUGAAGGAUGACUGCUCUAUGGGUUGUAAACUUCUUUUAUAAAGGAAUAAAGUGAGGCACGUGUGCCUUUUUGUAUGUACUUUAUGAAUAAGGAUCGGCUAACUCCGUGCCAGCAGCCGCGGUAAUACGGAGGAUCCGAGCGUUAUCCGGAUUUAUUGGGUUUAAAGGGAGCGUAGAUGGGUUGUUAAGUCAGUUGUGAAAGUUUGCGGCUCAACCGUAAAAUUGCAAUUGAUACUGGCAGUCUUGAGUACAGUUGAGGUAGGCGGAAUGUGUGGUGUAGCGGUGAAAUGCUUAGAUAUCACAAAGAACUCCGAUUGCGAAGGCAGCUUACUAAACUGCCACUGACAUUGAUGCUCGAAAGUGUGGGUAGCAAACAGGAUUAGAUACCCCUGUAGUC